CUCUCUCUUGAUUUGGAAUUGUUCUUGUACUGUUGUUGUAGUUUUGGAGUUGAUGUGAGGUGGGAUUUGGAAUACUGGUGGAUCUCUAUCUUGAUUUAUGUUCUUGUACUCAGUGUUUGGAAUUGUUCUUGUACUGUUGUACGCCGGCUCCUCCUGGCACUCCUGCGGAAGCAGUAGCGGCACUGGGGCGUGCAAAUCUGGUUGCUUUGUUGGUUUACUGUGAUUCUAUGUUUUGAUGUGAUCUUUGUUGGUUGCUAGGAAGAAAUUGGAUGAAAAAAAUCUGCUACUCAAAUUCGCCAGAAGAGUCCUAGUCGGGGAUGGCGAGAGGAGGAAGACAACGGGGAGCAUAGACCUCCGGAUCUCCAGUCCGCUUCUCCUCGGGAGGCUGUCGCAGUGCUCCUCGACCUCCUCACCUAGCUCCUGCCUUCCGUCACGCAGCUUGAGGAAGUACGCAGAGUUCUAGGUCGCUCUCCGAAAAAAAUGAGUUCUAGGUCGCUGCCGCUCCACGACCUCGGGGCAUGGCUCGUGGUCGGCCACUAGAUGCUCUUCGACUUGAUUUUUGGGUGCGAAGACACGUCAAGGCCAGGGAGGAGCAUGACUCUUGUAUCCUCUUUUUUUGUGUGGACUGGAAGGGGUUGCGGCUUGAUAGAUUUUGUAUAUUGCAUUCAAGAUUUGUGUUAUCAGUGAUUGUAAUUUUUUGUUGAUAGCUUACCAAGUUGACCACUUGGUUCAAGAUUUGUGUUAUGCUCGUUCUUAGCACUUUUCCGGUGAAGGGCAGGUACUAGAGAACUUAGUUUGUUCUUAGCCAAAGUGCUUUUUGAGUGAAGCAGACAACAUUGCUUAAAGUACUAACUGACUGAUUAAUAUUUUAGGAUUUGCAGUACUUA